rnacentral:rRNA from 1 species
UACGGAGGGUGCGAGCGUUAAUCGGAAUUACUGGGCGUAAAGCGCGCGUAGGCGGUCUGAUCAGCCGGUUGUGAAAGCCCCGGGCUCAACCUGGGAACGGCAUCCGGAACUGUCAGGCUAGAGUGCAGGAGAGGAAGGUAGAAUUCCCGGUGUAGCGGUGAAAUGCGUAGAGAUCGGGAGGAAUACCAGUGGCGAAGGCGGCCUUCUGGACUGACACUGACGCUGAGGUGCGAAAGCGUGGGUAGCAAACAGGAUUAGAUACCCUGGUA